CAGCCGCCACGGUAAUACGAAGGGUGCAAGCGUUAAUCGGAAUUACUGGGCGUAAAGCGUGCGUAGGCGGUGAGUUAAGUCUGCUGUGAAAUCCCCGGGCUCAACCUGGGAAUGGCAAUGGAUACUGGCAAGCUAGAGUGUGUCAGAGGAUGGUGGAAUUCCCGGUGUAGCGGUGAAAUGCGUAGAGAUCGGGAGGAACAUCAGUGGCGAAGGCGGCCAUCUGGGACAACACUGACGCUGAGGCACGAAAGCGUGGGGAGCAAACAGGAUUAGAUACCCCGGUAGUCCCUGUCUCUUAUAC
rnacentral:rRNA from 1 species